UACGUAGGGUUCAAGCGUUGUCCGGAAUUAUUGGGCGUAAAGAGCUCGUAGGCGGUUCGUCGCGUCGGCUGUGAAAACCCGGAGCUCAACUCCGGGCCUGCAGUCGAUACGGGCGGACUUGAGUGUUGCAGGGGAGACUGGAAUUCCUGGUGUAGCGGUGAAAUGCGUAGAUAUCUGGAGGAACACCGGUGGCGAAGGCGGCAUCCUGGACCGAGACUGACACUGAGGAGCGAAAGCCAGGGGAGCAAACGGG
rnacentral:rRNA from 1 species